GUAGGUGGCAAGCGUUGUCCGGGAAUUAUUGGGGCGUAAAGCGCGCGCAGGCGGUUCUUUAAGUCUGAUGUGAAAGCCCACGGGCUCAACCGUGGAGGGUCAUUGGAAACUGGAGAACUUGAGUACAGAAGAGGAAAGCGGAAUUCCACGUGUAGCGGUGAAAUGCGUAGAGAUGUGGAGGAACACCAGUGGCGAAGGCGGCUUUCUGGUCUGUAACUGACGCUGAGGCGCGAAAGCGUGGGGAGCAAACAGGAUUAGAUACCCUGGUAGUCCACGCCGUAAACGAUGAGUGCUAAGCGUUAGGGGGUUUCCGCCCCUUAGUGCUGCAGCUAACGCAUUAAGCACUCCGCCUGGGGAGUACGGCCGCAAAGGCUG
rnacentral:rRNA from 1 species